UGCAGUGAGCGACGUCGACUUGACCGCCGACCGUAGCCCAGGAGAAGCAAUCAUCGUUCGAUCCUCUCUCGUUUUGAACCUGUUUAUACGACUAUAAAUUUCGAUCUUGGUGUUCUCAUGUUUACGUGAUUCAUAGUGUUUAUCUUCGUCUACUAAAAAUCAAAUUAGAAGAACAGGAAGAAGAGAACAAGAAGUAUUUAAAAAUACCACAGUGAAAGCGUUGACAACAAUCAGAACAAUAUUUAGAAAAACAAUACAUACAUGUUACAAGCAAUCGUACCAAGAGUGGAUGGAUGCCGCUUAUAGCGGAUACGAGGAGGGGUUUUUAAUGAAUCGGCAAAUGACAACUCGCCAGCCCUACAUAACUGACGGGUACGGGCCGAGGGCUGAUAAGGUUUUUGGUGACUGAUAAAACACUAGACAAGUUACAGUACGGAAUUAAUAUGGGAAUAUUGCCAUAUUCUAAUGAAUACAAUUAAAAGGUAUAGAAGUAUAUAUUACAAUCAUCCUCGUGUCCGCAGUAAUGAAUUUGGAACAGCAACAAAAUUCUUGAUUUUACAGAGAUAUAAACGAAAAGUAAUAAAAACAAAUAUAUAUGAAAGCGGGCGUAAGAAUGUUAUUGUCAUCUGGUAUACAACAAACUUAAUUGCAAUAGAAAAUACUUGUUUAUUGAAUUUCUGUCAGUUUAAUUGCUAAACUGCAAGUUAUUUUUAAAUAAAUUUUAAAUAAUUUGAUUGCUGUUCAAAUGCAGUAUUCGAAUGUAUAUAAAAUUAAUUUAUUUAGUGUUUUAAUACGAUAUAAUAUUAGCUGCCAUAAUUUUGUGAAACUAUUUAAAAUUACAUUAAUAAAUCUUUGAAAGUUAUCAUUCAAUGUCAGAUUUUAAGAAUAUAAUUGAUUACUUCGAAAGUAAUGAAGAUAUAUAUUUUGACGAAAUUUUAAGAACUUCGAGUUGAUAAAAAACUUCAUUCCGUUAACAUUAACUGAAAAUUAGCAAAAAUUCAUUAAUUAUGAAAAACUGUUACAUUGAAUUAAGUAUGAUGAUAAAUAAUGAAUACAAUAACAUACAAUUUUUCAUAUUUUAUGAAAAAAUAAUAGUUCUCUAAUAGUUGAAAACGUUGAGAGAUACGAAAAUGUCUGAAAGUAAAGCAAAACCGGCAUCACCAAUACCGCCGGCUACUACUAUACAAUGCUGUAAUAGUUUAACAGAUACACAAUGUCCAGCACUUCAAGUGACGUCACGAAUGUUACGAUCGCCGAGUCAUGAAAGUGUUACGACUGACCUCUCUCUAUUUAGCGUCUCUUCAAUAGCAAGCGAACUGCGAGGGGUUAACAGACUCGUUACUUUUAAAUCUUAUACCGAUAUACAUCUUUCUGGUCGUGGCCCAUCACCGAAACCUGACUCUCGUCAGGUUCAAAGCAACAGAGAGAUGUUUGUUGUCAAAAAUAUGGAUCACGAGAUACUGUACAAAACCAUAUUAUUGUCUACUAUGAACAAAAAAUUAUCCUCUAGGUUCAACACAUGCAAUACAUCAAGAGACAUUUUAGAAAAAUGUACAUUAUGCCCUCAUUUCGCAAAUUACAAAGGGUACACGAAUACAGAAAUCUACAAACCACGAGGUAAAUUAGAUAGAGACACAAAAAUUAUCAGAAGUAAGAAAUAAGAGAAAAAUUAUGUUUAGACCAGAGAAGUUAACACAGAAAAAGUAGAUAAUAAUAACUAUAUUAAUAAUAACUCAAUUCUGAACCAAUUUUUACACAAAUUGAAAACACUGUUUAACCAGUUCAUGAAUCAAAGCAAUAUAAUCAUAAAUGCGUUAACGACCGUUACCGAAAAAUAAUAACAAUGGAUUGCGACUUAGAAAUAAUCAUAUGAAACGCAAACGAUUUAAGACAGCAAAAGAAAAUGUAUAUGCUCCUAUUUCUAAAAACAUAUUUUACAAAUAAAAACUACUCCAAUAUCUUUAACUACAAAAUAUAUUCCAUGCUACAUUCAGACGGAACCACUCAUUUUAAGGUACUGCUACGAUUAUUAAUCCCAUUGGCGUCAUAGUUUAUCACUGAAAGUGUUUUCCAUACUAGCAUGAAUUUCCCGCUACUAGCGUAUAUGUACUUCGUAACCAAUACACUAUCUUGAGAAUUGAAUUUACCAUUGAACAAAAGAAGAUAAAUUUGAACAAGUAGGCCAGUAGGAUGAGAUAUUUCAAAGUAUAAUACAGCAAAGUCUCAUAAGUUAACAUAUCUGACAUAAACAGUGACAUACACAAUAAUUUUCAUAAUCUGAUUAUAUCCGUCAUUUCCGCUGUGAAUUGACUUUGAUACUGACGUAUAUAUGCUACAUAAUCGCUUGAGGGAUUAAUGGAAAGAUGUCACACCGUGAAAUAAAUAAUCGAAUCACGAACAUCAAAAUAAAGAACUUAAGAGCUUCACUGUUCAUAGCUGCGGUAUAUUAUCUCCCACGAUACCGAACAUGUUUAAAUAUGUUAAAUGAGAGAUUUAUAGCAGGAGAAAACUGCAAUGCAAAAUAUCCGCAAUGGAGUUCAAGACUCAUCAACUACAAAGGUGAUACACUCCAUAAAACAAUGUUAUCAAGAGGAUACAACUAGAUAAAAUCUACUUUGUUGGCCAACUAAUUCAGUAGAAACUUUCUUGGACUUUUAUAUUACAAAGGGUGACUCCUUAAAUUAUAUUAACUUUUAUUCCAGCUUUGAUCUCUUAUUAGAUUCGUCUUAGAUUCGUUAAUAUAUAACAAUAUUAUAUUAACUUUAUCAAUUGUAGGAAAUAAAACACGCUUAUUUUUGCACACCACAAAAACUAACUAGUGACUAUCCUAUCUGUAAGAGAGGAAAAUAAUUCGUAGGCUAAAGAAGAUUAGAAUUUUAGCUAAAAUUUUCACGAUACACUUAUCUAAAGUCUUUUAAUCCGAUGACGAUUUGACAUCUGGUAACGAGAGUAAUGCCAUUAUAGAUUACCCAAACACCUCAUCGUAACUUAGUAAAUAUG